rnacentral:misc_RNA from 1 species
GAUGAAGAACGUAGCGAAAUGCGAUAAGUAAUGUGAAUUGCAGAAUUCAGUGAAUCAUCGAAUCUUUGAACGCAUCUUGCGCUCCUUGGUAUUCUGAGGAGCAUGCCUGUUUGAGUGUCAUUAAAUUCUCAACUACACUGACUUUGAAUUAGUGUGGCUUGGAUUUGGGGGGAAAAUUGUUGUGGGCUUUUUGUAUAGUCUGCUCCCCUGAAAUUGAUUAGCGGUACCUUUGUGGAACUGUCUACAGGUGUGAUAAUUAUCUACAUCUUAGACAUCUGCUGGAAUGCUGCUUUCUAAACCUUACUUGUAUUGACAAUCUUGACCUCAAAUCAGGUAGGACUACCCGCUGAACUUAAGCAUAUCAAUAAGCGGAGGA